rnacentral:tRNA from 1 species
GGAGAAGUGUCCGAGUGGUCGAAGGAGCACGCCUGGAAAGUGUGUAUACGCUAACCGCGUAUCGAGGGUUCGAAUCCCUCCUUCUCCGCCA